rnacentral:rRNA from 1 species
UACGAAGGGUGCAAGCGUUAAUCGGAAUUACUGGGCGUAAAGGGUGCGUAGGCGGUUGUUUAAGUCUGUCGUGAAAUCCCCGGGCUCAACCUGGGAAUGGCGAUGGAAACUGGGCAGCUAGAGUGUGUCAGAGGAUGGUGGAAUUCCCGGUGUAGCGGUGAAAUGCGUAGAUAUCGUCAGGAAUGCCGGUGGUGAAGACGGGUGACUGGGCUGGUUCUGACACUGAGGCACGAAAGCGUGGGGAGCGAACGGG